rnacentral:rRNA from 1 species
AGAGUUUGAUCCUGGCUCAGAAUCAACGCUGGCGGCGUGCAUAACACAUGCAAGUCGAACGAGAAAGUGGGGGCAACCCCGCGAGUAAAGUGGCAGACGGGUGAGUAACACGUGAAUAACCCACACCCCUGUGGGGAAUAACCCCGCGAAAGCGGGGCUAAUACCGCAUAACAUCACGGGAUUGCAUGAUCCUGUGAUCAAAGGCUUCGGUCGCUGGGGAAGGGGUUCACGCCUGAUUAGCUAGUUGGUGAGGUAACGGCCCACCAAGGCAACGAUCAGUAGCCGGCCUGAGAGGGCGUACGGCCACACUGGAACUGAGACACGGUCCAGACUCCUACGGGAGGCAGCAGUGGGGAAUUUUGCGCAAUGGGCGAAAGCCUGACGCAGCAACGCCGCGUGGAGGAUGAAGGCCUUCGGGUCGUAAACUCCUGUCAGGGGGGACGAAAGCCGCGCAAGCGGUUUGACUGUACCCUCUGAGGAAGCCACGGCUAACUCCGUGCCAGCAGCCGCGGUAAUACGGAGGUGGCAAGCGUUGUUCGGAAUUACUGGGCGUAAAGGGCGCGUAGGCGGCUUGGCAAGUCAGAUGUGAAAGCCCCGGGCUUAACUUGGGAAUUGCAUCUGAAACUGCUUUGCUUGAGUCCUGGAGGGGGUAGUGGAAUUCCCAGUGUAGCGGUGAAAUGCGUAGAUAUUGGGAGGAACACCUGCGGCGAAGGCGGCUACCUGGACAGUGACUGACGCUGAGGCGCGAAAGCUAGGGGGAGCAAACGGGAUUAGAUACCCCGGGUAGUCCUAGCCGUAAA